rnacentral:lncRNA from 1 species
AUCAAAUAAUAUAUAAAAAGUAUAUUUGAUAAAGUGUUCUCUCCAAUCCUAGUUUUCGAUCUUUUGUUGCUUCAUGUAAACGUAUGUUAUAUCCCAAGAGUGACAAUAGGUAUAAAAUUGAUACCUUAACUUUGAGUGCUAAUAAGUCCUUCAUAAAAACUCCAAAUCACAUAAAAUUUGUAUCCAAUGUAUAUUCAAAAACCUAAACUUAAUGAUCUUAGCCUCCAAAAUUCAAAUGACUUCAAAAAAAAAAACCCUAAUUCCUAAUGAAGCCUCACACAUAGCCUUUGAUUAAUAAAAAUGAAGCUCUCCAUUUCUUACCUUUAUCCAAAUAUGCCUUGCUUUCAUCCCUCUCAAUAAACCUCUUAUUAGUUAAGAUUU